rnacentral:lncRNA from 1 species
GUGUGAAUGGAGAAGGUUCUACAUGUAAUAUACGAAAGUCCAAGGGGUUACUUCCCUAUCUACCAUGUGUGGCUGUCUCCUCUUCAUUAAACCAAAUCUUCUCUCAAAAAACAACUUCUCCUAAGAUUUUACUUGACCAUCAAAAAUCCCCUCCACAAAGGCAAAAGGUCUGCAAAUCCAGUGGAGGACCUGGCUUGUUCUAGGCUCUUUCUGUGACAU